rnacentral:rRNA from 1 species
CGUGUAGGCGGCUUGGUAAGUCGGGUGUGAAAGCCCGGGGCUCAACCCCGGAAUUGCACUCGAUACUGCCUCGCUAGAGUCCCGGAGAGGAGAGCGGAAUUCCCGGUGUAGAGGUGAAAUUCGUAGAUAUCGGGAGGAACACCAGCGGCGAAGGCGGCUCUCUGGACGGUGACUGACGCUGAGACGCGAAAGCGUGGGGAGCAAACA